AACGAACGCUGGUGGCGUGCUUAACACAUGCAAGUCGACCGAGAAAAUUUCCUUCGGGAAACUAGUAAAGUGGCGCAAGGGUGAGUAACACGUGAAUAAUCUGCCCUCGAGAUCGGGAUAACAUGGUGAAAACUAUGCUAAUACCGGAUAAGACCACAUUUCAAAAGAAAUGCGGGAAAAGAAGUCUCAACCUUCACUCGAGGAUGAGUUCGCGCAACAUUAGCUUGUUGGUGGGAUAAAAGCUCACCAAGGCUACGAUGUUUAGCCGGCCUGAGAGGGUGAUCGGCCACACUGGAACUGAGAUACGGCCCAGACUCCUACGGGAGGCAGCAGUGGGGAAUAUUGGACAAUGGGGGCAACCCUGAUCCAGCAAUACCGCGUGUGUGAAG
rnacentral:rRNA from 1 species